CCUUCUUUCAAGGCUAAGCUUGCUAAGAUUGCCACGGCUGAGAUGAUUUCCUCCAAGGAGAAGGGCAGGGCAGCGUCCCCGUUGUUGGACCGGAACAAGAAACGGAAGCUAGUCGUCAUUUGCCUCAGGAAGAAGUUAAAUUGUUGUGUCUAUAAGCGCAAAGUCCACAUGUCGAUGUCCUUGGUAAGUAUGCUUUGCUUCACUCUAACGGCCAU